rnacentral:lncRNA from 1 species
UAGUGGCGACCACUGUCUGCUGGAUUUACACCCACCCGUACUGGGUCCACCGCCAGUGUUCUCUAAAUACACCUAUAAUGUAUCCACUAAGAACCACACCGGCUUUGGUUUCUAGCUUUAGGCAGUUCCAUUCCAGCAGCACUACGGACCUUCUAAUUGGGGUAGCACUUGGGUGACAUAGAAUUGGUGACAUUGGCCAACCACAAUGUCACAAGUGGCUUCUCUCUCCCCCUUUCUCUCUCACACACACAAGGAUUGUGAUUGGCCAAUGUCACCAAUUCUAUGUCACCCAAGUGCUACCCAUCUAAUUCUAUGCACCAGCUGACAAGUUACACUAGGCUACUGGCUGAUUUGGCUCCACCCCCGUUUGUUUUGUUAUCUUCUAGGCACGGUCUGUUUUCUAAAUUAGAGCCCGAUUCAAU